UACGAAGGGGGCUAGCGUUGCUCGGAAUCACUGGGCGUAAAGGGUGCGUAGGCGGGUCUUUAAGUCAGGGGUGAAAUCCUGGAGCUCAACUCCAGAACUGCCUUUGAUACUGAAGAUCUUGAGUUCGGGAGAGGUGAGUGGAACUGCGAGUGUAGAGGUGAAAUUCGUAGAUAUUCGCAAGAACACCAGUGGCGAAGGCGGCUCACUGGCCCGAUACUGACGCUGAGGCACGAAAGCGUGGGGAGCAAACAGGAU
rnacentral:rRNA from 1 species